rnacentral:lncRNA from 1 species
UAAGCAUUUAGGUUGGUUUGUGCUUUUUGCACUACAAUAAAAACGAUGUAUAGCGAUAUUUUUAAAUAUUGAUACAUAUAAAAAAAAUAAUGCUGACUAAAUUAUCAAUACUUUUAGAAAAUGUUGCUAUAUGUGGGGUCGCUAGGUAUAUAGUGACAGUUUAAGAGUGUCGGUAUAAUCUAGAAAGAAUACUGCUAAUUUACCAAAACUUAUUUAAGUAUUUAGCAACCGCCGGAACUUUACCUUGUUGGCUGCGGUGGCGGAGGAGGACGAGAGCGAAGGGCUAUUCGUCUAGAGUUUCAGUGGAUUGAGUGAGG